rnacentral:rRNA from 1 species
UGAUCCUGGCUCAGGAUGAACGCUGGCGGUCUGCUUAACACAUGCAAGUCGAACGAGCACUUCGGUGCUAGUGGCGGACGGGUGAGUAACACGUGAGAAUCUACCCUCAGGAGGGGGAUAACGGCUGGAAACGGCCGCUAAUACCCCAUAUGCCGCAAGGUGAAAUCUUUUUUGGCCUGAGGAUGAGCUCGCGGUGGAUUAGCUAGUUGGUGGGGUAAUGGCCUACCAAGGCGACGAUCCAUAGCUGGUCUGAGAGGAUGAUCAGCCACACUGGGACUGAGACACGGCCCAGACUCCUACGGGAGGCAGCAGUGGGGAAUUUUCCGCAAUGGGCGAAAGCCUGACGGAGCAAGACCGCGUGAGGGAUGAAGGCCUUUGGGUUGUAAACCUCUUUUCUCAGGGAAGAACACAAUGACGGUACCUGAGGAAUAAGCCUCGGCUAACUCCGUGCCAGCAGCCGCGGUAAUACGUAGGGGGCGAGCGUUGCCCGAAUUUACUGGGCGUAAAGCGCACGUAGGCGGCUCCGUAAGUCUGGUGUGAAAUCUCACGGCUCAACCGGGAGGCUGCACCGGAUACUGCGGAGCUCGAGGACGGGAGAGGAGAUUGGAAUUCCCGGUGUAGCGGUGAAAUGCAUUGAUAUCGGGAGGAACACCAGUGGCGAAGGCGGAUCUCUGGCCCGUUGCUGACGCUGAGGUGCGAAAGCUGGGGGAGCGAAAGGGAUUAGAUACCCCCGUAGUCCCAGCCCUAAACGAUGGGCGCUAGAUGUUGGGGGAUUACCCCUCGGCGCCGCAGCUAACGCAUUAAGCGCCCCGCCUGGGGAGUACGGCCGCAAGGUUGAAACUCAAAUGAAUUGACGGGGGAUCAAACUCU